CGUAGGGUCCGAGCGUUGUCCGGAAGUUAUUGGGGCGUUAAAGGGCUUGUAGGCGGUUCGUUGCGUCGGAAGUGAAAACUCAGGGCUUAACCCUGAGCCUGCUUCCGAUACGGGCGAACUAGAGGGAUGCAGGGGAGAACGGAAUUCCUGGUGGAGCGGUGGAAUGCGCAGAUAUCAGGAGGAACACCGGUGGCGAAGGCGGUUCUCUGGGCAUUUCCUGACGCUGAGAAGCGAAAGCGUGGGGAGCAAACAGGCUUAGAUACCCUGGUAGUCCACGCCGUAAACGGUGGGCACUAGGUGUGGGGGACAUUCCACGUUCUCCGUGCCGAAGCUAACGCAUUAACGUGCCCCGGCCUGGGGAGUACGGCCGCAAGGCUA
rnacentral:rRNA from 1 species